rnacentral:lncRNA from 1 species
GGGUAUAAUAUAAUGUUUCAAUAUAUGAUACAUAUGAAUCACAGAGAGAACACAGCAGUGACUUCACAGGGUUAAAUGGAAUGCAGUAGUUGCCCAGGAUCUCUGUGAAAACCAGCAUGUGGGUAGCAGGACUGUGAGAGGGUCCUGAGUGUUAAGGCUAUUAUUGGGAUUAAGGACUCAUGCAAGAAGAUUCUCAGGGGGAGUUGUAAUUGGUGGAUUUCAAGCAAGCAGGUGUGAGCUCCGUGGUGGGCACCUAUGAUUGAGGGGUCCUCACUGUGGAAGAUCUGCACAGUCCAGCAGCCUGUGGAGGUCUAUUGAUUAGUCAAAUAGGUUGCAGAGAGCUGUUCCAUUGGGAAGUGAUCACUAGCAGGAGAUUGUAUAUAGAAUAUAUCUGAAUUGAUAACACCGAGGAUGUGUUAGGGAUAAUAAAGCCCUCCUUGUGGUAUGAGAAAUUGCAUGUUAUAUGUAACAGAGAUGCUGAGACAACAUAAAAUUAUAAAAUUCACUACAACUUACCUCAUGGUCUGUAGCAUUACUUUGCGUACUGGGGAUUGAAUCCAGGGAUUCUUAACCACUGAGCCACAUCCCCAGCCUUUUUUAAAUAUUUUAUCUAGAGACAGGGUCUUGGUGAGUUGCCUAGGAUCACACUAAAUUGCUGAGGCUGGCUUUGAACUCUUGAUCCCCCAGCCUAAGUGUUCCAAGCUGCUAGGAUUAUAGGAAUCUGCUACUGCACUGGGCUCACUAGCAUUAUUUUAAAAUGUAAAGCAGUUGUAGUUUGAGUGGUACACAUACUGACUGUAGAAAGACGGUGGUUGGCAGCUGAGAUAUGGAGAUGAAAACUGAGAGAUUGUGGGGAAAGCUGGAUGUGUAUAGCAGCAGGCCAAAGAAUCAGGGAGUGUGGGAUCCUG